UACAGAGGGUGCUAGCGUUGUUCGGAAUCAUUGGGCGUAAAGGGCGUGUAGGCGGUUUGUUAAGUCAUGUGUGAAAGCCCCCGGCUCAACCGGGGAACGACGCAUGAAACUGGCAAGCUAGAGUACCGAAGAGGGGGGUGGAAUUCCCGGUGUAGCGGUGAAAUGCGUAGAUAUUCGCAAGAACACCAGUGGCGAAGGCGGCUCACUGGCCCGAUACUGACGCUGAGGCACGGAAAGCGUGGGGAGCAAACAGG
rnacentral:rRNA from 1 species